rnacentral:rRNA from 1 species
AUGGCCGGAGGAGAUGACUUGAAGCUGCUCGGCGCUUGGGCGAGUCCAUUUGUCGCCAGGGUGAAGCUUGCGCUGAGCUUCAAGGGCCUGAGCUUCGAGGAUGUCGAGGAGGACCUCAGCAACAAGAGCGAGCUCCUCCUCAGCUCGAACCCGGUGCACAAGAAGGUGCCCGUGCUCGUCCACAACGGGAAACCCAUUUGCGAGUCAAUGAUCAUCGUUCAGUACAUCGAUGAGGCGUUCCUUGUCGGCCCCUCUCUUCUUCCCUCUGACCCCUACAAACGUGCAAUUGCCCGUUUUUGGGCCGCCUACAUUGACGAUAAGCUCGUCACCCCAUGGGUACAGUCGUUGAGGGCCAAGACAGAGGAGGAGAAGUCUGAGGGGGUUAAGCAGACAUUUGCCGCUGUGGAAACACUGGAAGGAGCCCUGAGGGAGUGCUCCAAGGGAGAGGGCUACUUUGGUGGUGAGACCGUCGGGCUUGUGGACAUUUCACUUGGGAGCCUGCUCUCCUGGUUGAUUGCGACAGAAGUGAUGUCUGGAACCAAGAUCUUUGAUCCUGUUAAGACUCCGCUCCUGGCAGCGUGGAUGGGGCGCUUUAGCGAGCUCGACGCUGCCAAGGCGGCGUUGCCAGAAGUUGAUAGGGUGGUCGAAUUUGCCAAGAAGAGACAGGCACAGGCUGAUGCCGCCGCCGCUGCUUCGGAGACCAAGUAA